AAACUGGUGCCAUCCCCAACUGAAAUGCUUCAAAAUGCAAGCAAAAAUACUGCCCAAAGCAACUGAAAACCUGGUAGCAAGUAAAAAUAAACACAGAACAUGAACAUGAACUGGUAUGCUUUAUAACACAUAAUAAAAUAAACAGCUUUCAUAGGUAGUCCACUGACAGUCAGUGUGGAGUGUAGGGCAAGUGUUCUUAGAUAAAGGGAAUUGAGCAUGUCCAUGACUGCUCAUCUCACCUCACAUAUACAGCGGUGUUUAUCAAAAUUAUAUUGUUGCACCUUAAGCAUAGCAUGGCAGAGAAAAA